GAUGAACGCUAGCGGCAGGCCUAAUACAUGCAAGUCGAGGGGCAGCGGGGUAGCAAUACUGCCGGCGACCGGCGCACGGGUGCGUAACACGUAUGCAACCUACCUUAAACUGGGGGAUAGCCCGGGGGAAACUCGGAUUAAUACCCCCAUAACACAGUGUUAUCUCAUGAUGAUAUUGUUAAAGAUUUAUCGGUUUAAGCUGGGCAUGCGUUCGAUUAGCUAGUUGGUGAGGUAACGGCUCACCAAGGCUACGAUCGAUAGGGGGUCUGAGAGGAUGAUCCCCCACACUGGUACUGAGAUACGGACCAGACUCCUACGGGAGGCAGCAGUAGGGAAUAUUGGUCAAUGGAGGCAACUCUGAACCAGCCAUGCCGCGUGUAGGAAGAAGGCGUUCUGCGUUGUAAACUACUUUUGAUUGGGAACAAAUGACUCUUGCGAGAGUAGCUGAGUGUACCAAUAGAAUAAGCCACGGCUAACUACGUGCCAGCAGCCGCGGUAAU
rnacentral:rRNA from 1 species